UGGGUAACCUGCCUGUAAGACUGGGAUAACUCCGGGAAACCGGGGCUAAUACCGGAUGCUUGUUUGAACCGCAUGGUUCAAACAUAAAAGGUGGCUUCGGCUACCACUUACAGAUGGACCCGCGGCGCAUUAGCUAGUUGGUGAGGUAACGGCUCACCAAGGCAACGAUGCGUAGCCGACCUGAGAGGGUGAUCGGCCACACUGGGACUGAGACACGGCCCAGACUCCUACGGGAGGCAGCAGUAGGGAAUCUUCCGCAAUGGACGAAAGUCUGACGGAGCAACGCCGCGUGAGUGAUGAAGGUUUUCGGAUCGUAAAGCUCUGUUGUUAGGGAAGAACAAGUACCGUUCAAAUAGGGCGGUACCUUGACGGUACCUAACCAGAAAGCCACGGCUAACUACGUGCCAGCAGCCGCGGUAAUACGUAGGUGGCAAGCGUUGUCCGGAAUUAUUGGGCGUAAAGGGCUCGCAGGCGGUUCCUUAAGUCUGAUGUGAAAGCCCCCGGCUCAACCGGGGAGGGUCAUUGGAAACUGGGGAACUUGAGUGCAGAAGAGGAGAGUGGAAUCCACGUGUAGCGGUGAAAUGCGUAGAGAUGUGGAGGAACACCAGUGGCGAAGGCGACUCUCUGGUCUGUAACUGACGCUGAGGAGCGAAAGCGUGGGGAGCGAACAGGAUUAGAUACCCUGGUAGUCCACGCCGUAAACGAUGAGUGCUAAGUGUUAGGGGGUUUCCGCCCCUUAGUGCUGCAGCUAACGCAUUAAGCACUCCGCCUGGGGAGUACGGUCGCAAGACUGAAACUCAAAGGAAUUGACGGGGGCCCGCACAAGCGGUGGAGCAUGUGGUUUAAUUCGAAGCAACGCGAAGAACCUUACCAGGUCUUGACAUCCUCUGACAAUCCUAGAGAUAGGACGUCCCCUUCGGGGGCAGAGUGACAGGUGGUGCAUGGUUGUCGUCAGCUCGUGUCGUGAGAUGUUGGGUUAAGUCCCGCAACGAGCGCAACCCUUGAUCUUAGUUGCCAGCAUUCAGUUGGGCACUCUAAGGUGACUGCCGGUGACAAACCGGAGGAAGGUGGGGAUGACGUCAAAUCAUCAUGCCCCUUAUGACCUGGGCUACACACGUGCUACAAUGGACAGAACAAAGGGCAGCGAAACCGCGAGGUUAAGCCAAUCCCACAAAUCUGUUCUCAGUUCGGAUCGCAGUCUGCAACUCGACUGCGUGAAGCUGGAAUCGCUAGUAAUCGCGGAUCAGCAUGCCGCGG
rnacentral:rRNA from 1 species